UGCAGUGUUCAUUUGGGCUUCACCUU
rnacentral:piRNA from 1 species